rnacentral:lncRNA from 1 species
CUGGACCAUUGACAUGAAGGGAUGGAAAUGAUAAUCACUGCAUAUGUUGAAUGAUUUCUUUUCUCAUCUUUCAGAGUAUGCCACUCAGCGAAGGGAAUGGAAUGAGCAGUUUAUAUAAACUCCAGGUAGUUACUUUUUUAAUCACUUAAAAUUAUUUUCCAGUGUUAUAUAAGUAUUAAUUGGCACUUUUUCCCCUUAUCAAUUUAGGGAGGUGGAAGUGUUGCUACUUAUCCUGGACCCCCUGGUCCUUCAGGUCCAAAAGGAGAUCCUGGUGCAAUGGGAGAACCUGGACCCAUGGGGCUCCCAGGACUAGAAGGAUUUCCAGGUGUAAAGGGAGAUCGAGGCCCAGCUGGUUCACCAGGAAUAGCAGGAAUACCGGU